CCUACGGGGGGCAGCAGUGAGGAAUAUUGGUCAAUGGACGAGAGUCUGAACCAGCCAAGUAGCGUGAAGGAUGACUGCCCUAUGGGUUGUAAACUUCUUUUAUAUGGGAAUAAAAUGUUCCACGUGUGGGUUUUUGUAUUUACCAUAUGAAUAAGGAUCGGCUAACUCCGUGCCAGCAGCCGCGGUACUACGGAGGAUCCGAGCGUUAUCCGGAUUUAUUGGGUUUAAAGGGAGCGUAGGUGGAUUGUUAAGUCAGUUGUGAAAGUUUGCGGCUCAACCGUAAAAUUGCAGUUGAAACUGGCAGUCUUGAGUAUAGUAGAGGUGGGCGGAAUUCGAGGUGGAGCGGUGAAAUGCUUAGAUAUCACGAAGAAUUCCGAUUGCGAAGGCAGCCCACUGGACUGCGACUGACACUGAGGCGCGAAAGUGUGGGUAUCAAACAGGAUUAGAUACCCUUGUAGUC
rnacentral:rRNA from 1 species